AUUGAACGCUGGCGGCAGGCUUAACACAUGCAAGUCGAGCGGAGAGAGGUAGCUUGCUACUGAUCUUAGCGGCGGACGGGUGAGUAAUGCUUAGGAAUCUGCCUAUUAGUGGGGGACAACAUUUCGAAAGGAAUGCUAAUACCGCAUACGUCCUACGGGAGAAAGCAGGGGAUCUUCGGACCUUGCGCUAAUAGAUGAGCCUAAGUCGGAUUAGCUAGUUGGUGGGGUAAAGGCCUACCAAGGCGACGAUCUGUAGCGGGUCUGAGAGGAUGAUGCGGCACACUGGGGAUGAGACAGGGCCCAGACUCCUACGGGAGGCAGCAGUGGGGAAUAUUGGACAAUGGGCGGAAGCCUGAUCCAGCCAUGCCGCGUGUGUGAAGAAGGCCUUAUGGUUGUAAAGCACUUUAAGCGAGGAGGAGGCUACUUUAGUUAAUACCUAGAGAUAGUGGACGUUACUCGCAGAAUAAGCACCGGCUAACUCUGUGCCAGCCGCCGCCGUAACAC
rnacentral:rRNA from 1 species